CAAAAGCUUACGUCAAAAUGGAUCAAAAAGGCUGAGAUUCAUGGCAGCAGCUAGUGUUCAGAUACAGAAGACUCGACAAAUGACGUUGUAAUUUUACCUCAAGUCGGUUGUUCUACAUUGAAGAUACCAAGGAAAGAGCAAUUAUCGGUUUCUUAAGUGUU
rnacentral:sRNA from 1 species